CAGUGAUAAUAAAGUUGUGUUUGUACAGUGUUAAUAAAGUUGUGUUUGUACAGUGUUAAUAAAGUUGUGUGUUUGUACAGUGAUAAUAAAGUUGUGUGUUUGUACAGUGUUAAUAAAGUUGUGUGUUUGUACAGUGAUAAUAAAGUUGUGUGUUUGUACAGUGUUAAUAAAGUUGUGUGUUUGUACAGUGAUAAUAAAGUUGUGUGUUUGUACAGUGUUAAUAAAGUUGUGUUUGUACAGUGUUAAUAAAGUUGUGUGUUUGUACAGUGUUAAUAAAGUUGUGUGUUUGUACAGUGUUAAUAAAGUUGUGUUUGUACAGUGUUAAUAAAGUUGUGUGUUUGUACAGUGUUAAUAAAGUUGUGUGUUUGUACAGUGUUAAUAAAGCUGUGUUUGUACAGUGUUAAUAAAGUUGUGUGUUUGUACAGUGAUAAUAAAGUUGUGUGUUUGUACAGUGAUAAUAAAGUUAGUAAAUAAAGUCAGUCUGUGAUGUGUUCAGGUUCUGAUAUGAACACCUGACCACAGGUACGCGGCUGUUAAACAUCUCCUGGGUUCAGUUUGAGAUGUCGUCAGCUCCCAACGAUAUUUUAAUUAUUCAUAUGUGAGAAGAAGCACCUCGCUGCUCCAGAAAGACUGCUUGAAUUAUUAAUACAGGAGCCGCCAUCAUCAUCAACAUCAUCAUCAUCAUCAACAUCAUCAUCAUCAACAUUAUCAUCAUCAACAUCAGCAGCAGCUCUACUUCAGUGUGUGAGUGUCCCAUCUGUCUGCAGUGACUUCCUGCGGUUCACUUCCUGUGGUUAACUUCCUGAGGUUCAUUUCCUGCGGCCGGCCUCAGGUCAAACUCUCUGUGAGUGACCUGAGGGUAGAAACACUGACGCAGGUCAGAGUCAUCAAUAAUGACAGGUACAGAUUAUCUCCUGUUUCCUCUUUCUGCACACCGAUAACGAUGACGAACUCUCUGAUUCUUCCUUGCGUCUUUUCUCUCAGGAUCACUUCGAUAUUUCUGCUCUUAUUAAUCAUUGAACUGUCUGCUAGCUCAUUUAGUUUUCAUGUUUUACAUUGAAACAAUAUGAAGGAGAUCCUCAGAGGCAGUGAGAUAUAUUUUAUACCUAUAACUGAUCCAUCUGACAACCUUCAUCUUUAUUUUGCUGCUGCUCCUCACUGGAUCCAGUCCUGUUGCCCACACUGACUCGUGUUUAAGCCUCUUUAACAGAAUGUUGACAUUUGGUUUCAGAGGUCACAUGAAGGUGUUUGUCUGAUCUGUCCAUCAACCCCACAACCUCCAUAUUGUGGACCUCUUCACACCGCGCCACCUGACUUCAUUGGAACACUAGGCGGACGCGUCAAGGAGAGACGCUAAAGGAUUCGUACAGUCUGAAGCCGACGACACCAGACUGUAAAUCCUCAAUGUUUAAAUAAUCCAUCAUUCAUUCAUGCUGAUCCUGAUACAAAGAGUGUAAACAGAGCAGCUGCUGGUUGUGGGUCUGCAGGAGGAUCCGGUUCCAGAUGGAGGUCAGUGUGACGCUGCAGACGUCUCGUCUUUCUCGCAAACACUCACAGCAGUUAGCCUCCGCUAACUGUUAGCUGGCUGCUAGCAGAGCAGCCACAUAGCUAACGAACAGACGCUGGUUAUACACACUGACACCGUUUGGUCCACUCUGGCUUAAAGCUUAAAGCUUAAAGCUUAAAGCUUAAACUUAAACUUAAACUUAAAUAAACCUUUCAAAUGUCAAAACUUAAAGUCGGACAUACCAAUACCAAUCCAAUAAUUUAAUAAUUAUAACUAAACAAAUGUUUGACAAUAAAACAAUUAAAGUUCAGAUCUGUUCAACCAGCUGGCGUCCAAUCGAUUUAAUAAAUAAUAUAAAUAUACAGCAGAUAUUAAUGAUCACAUUUACAUUGUGGAUGAUGAACACUGAACACUAUCAGCUGUAAAGGUCAGUCCCAUAAACACUGACGCGGGUCUGUCCUGAAUACUGUCCGGUCCUGGUCUGUCUGAGUCCGUGAAUGCAGCAGAACCCGAGCUCAACAACAAAACCUUCCUUCAUUUCUUCAGUCCAACAA